CCUCAAAUCAGGUAGGACUACCCGCUGAACUUAAGCAUAUCAAUAAGCGGAGGAAAAGAAACUAACAAGGAUUCCCCCAGUAACUGCGAGUGAAGAGGGAAGAGCUCAAAUUUAGAAUCUGGCAGUCUUUGGCUGUCCGAGUUGUAAAUUAGAGAAGUGUUAUCCGCGCUGGCUGUGCAUAAGUCUCCUGGAAAAGGGCAUCAUAGAGGGUGACAAUCCCGUCUUUGGCACAGACUACCAGGGCUUUUGUGAUACGCUCUCGAUGAGUCGAGUUGUUUGGGAAUGCAGCUCUAAAUGGGUGGUAAAUUCCAUCUAAAGCUAAAUAUUGGCGAGAGACCGAUAGCGCACAAGUACCGUGAGGGAAAGAUGAAAAGAACUUUGAAAAGAGAGUUAAACAGUACGUGAAAUUGUUGAAAGGGAAACGCUUGAAGUCAGUCACAUCCUUCAGAAAUCAACCUGACCGUCAGGUCUGGUGUACUUUCUGUUUGGAUGGGUCAGCAUCAAUUUUGAUCAUUGGAUAAAGGCCUUGGGAAAGUGGCAUCUCCGGAUGUGUUAUAGCCUAUGGUUCAUACACAGUGGUUGGGAUUGAGGAACUCUGUGCUUUUUUGCACUACAGGAUGCUGGCA
rnacentral:rRNA from 1 species